rnacentral:rRNA from 1 species
CUACGGGAGGCAGCAGUGGGGAAUAUUGGACAAUGGGCGAAAGCCUGAUCCAGCCAUGCCGCGUGAGUGAUGAAGGCCUUAGGGUUGUAAAGCUCUUUUGUCGGGGACGAUAAUGACGGUACCCGAAGAAUAAGCCCCGGCUAACUUCGUGCCAGCAGCCGCGGUAAUACGAAGGGGGCUAGCGUUGCUCGGAAUCACUGGGCGUAAAGCGCACGUAGGCGGGUUGCUAAGUCAGGGGUGAAAUCCUGGAGCUCAACUCCAGAACUGCCUUUGAUACUGGCGACCUUGAGUCCGGGAGAGGUGAGUGGAACUGCGAGUGUAGAGGUGAAAUUCGUAGAUAUUCGCAAGAACACCAGUGGCGAAGGCGGCUCACUGGCCCGAUACUGACGCUGAGGCACGAAAGCGUGGGGAGCAAACAGGAUUAGAAACCCUGGUAGUCC